rnacentral:lncRNA from 1 species
GAACCUCUGGAUCCUGUGCAAAGGCAAGGUGUGUGGAAUAAACACCUGCUGUGCACCCAGCUGGACUCUACAGCACCUACUGUGUAUUCACACUCCUGCAGGAACCCGUGUUCUUAAAGAUGAAUAAUGCUCCGCCCCCCGUGCCGGGUCUUCUGGGGAUGAGCCACAGCCUGGAGGAGCUGAGGAGGCCACAUCACAUGAGGAAGCUUUACUGUUUCCCCUUCUCCUGAAAUGUGUCUGGGAUGGAGAGUGUGGAGAGUGGGCCCACCUUUAUCUGGGUCCACUCAGGCUGCUGCAGAGACUACCCCAGACUGGGUGGCUGAUAGACAAGACAUUCAUUUUCCACACUUCCUGAGACUGAGAAGUCUGAGUUGAAGAAACCUGGAAGCAAGGAAGCCGCCACCAUGAUGCAGCGGGGAGUCCGAGGCCCUGGGAGGUCAUAUGACUCAUUCACGGUCAUCCUGCUGUGGCAGAGAUGCGAUGAAGCCCUGGCUUUGCCGACAAGAGAGAUAAAUUCUAUAAGGGGAGCUGCAGCCCUGUUCCGUGGCCCUGUGCAGCUUUGGCUGAUGUUCAGAUCUGUCCAGGGAAGAGGGCACUGUGUGGCAGAGGAGGUUCCAGGGGACCCUCUUCCCUGGGCCCACCUUGGGAACCUGAGUUCAGGACCCCAACCCCAGGUGCCAGAGUCUUCCCUGCCCUGUACAGCCCUGCUCAUGCCAUGGUCUCCUGUGGACGUUCCCUCCUUCCCACGUUGGCGGUAUUGCUGUCCAAGCUUUGCAGGGGAGGAAUCUGAGGAAUUGAGAAGUCAAGUAACACACCCAAUAGGAUAACUAGGCCUUCUUGGCAGCCAACCUCGAAGCACCACAUCGGGCUUUGAAAUGUGCGGGGCCUUUGAGAUUCAGCGCAUCUGAAUCUGAAUUUAUGCCCUCUCACUUGCUGGAAUCUACUGAUCUGUCCACUGUUCCUGGAAGAAAUACUUUGUUUUCAUGUGUCAGUUGCCUUUCCAGCCUGACUGUCAGCCCAAGGUCGCAGGAGAAGAUCUGAUUGCAUGUCCUUGCUUUUGCUGCUCCCAUUCCAAGAACCAGCUUCCUCCUCUGGAAGGUAAGGUUAUGGUAAUGGCAUCAUCUUUGGAUCCUUGCAGAAAGGAAGUGCCAUGUCAGUGUUCUCCAAACUCCUGACUCAAAAUAAUCCUCUUUUAAGGAACAAGUUCCUAACUACAGGAAAUUCUAUAGGACUGAUGGACUGAUGGCACCUAAGUUUUUCGAAAUAUGGUCCCUGCACCAGCAGCAACGGCAUCAUCUGGGAAUUUGAUAAAAUGCACAUUCUCAAGUUCCCAUCAGAAACUCUGAGAGUGGGGCCCAACAAUCUGUACUUUAACAAUCCCUGGAGGGAGUUCCCAUCGUGGCUCAGUGGAAACGAGUCUGACUAGCGUCCAUGAGGAUUCAGGUUUGAUCCCUGCCCUUCUCAGUGGGUUAAGAAUUUGGCAUUGCCGUGAGCUGUGGUGUAGGUCGCAGACAUGGUGUGGAUCCUCCAUUGUGGCUGUGGUAUAGGCGGGCAGCUACAGCUCCAAUUGGACCCCUAGCCUGGGAAUCUCCACACUCCGCAGGUGCAGCCAUAAAAAGACAAAUAAAACAAAACAAAACAACAACUCCCCCCAAAUAAGCUCUCUAGGCAAUUCUCAUGCCCCCUAAGUUUGAGACUCUCUGAGCUAGGCUUUUCCUUUCCCUGGGCUGAGAUGUGGGGAUGAUCAUCAUGAAUGGGGAUGUGUGCUCAAGGACCACCUCCAGGGAAGGCAUUAGAAAUGGACGUUGGAGGGCAACUAGCUUCUGGGUAUUGGGGGAGGGGGGGAGGCAUUCAGAUGCCAGGACAGUGCUCAGGAGUAGGGAUGCUGAAGGCAGAUCUGCCAAAGUCUGACCUGUUCCCAGCAGGGCCACAGACUGGAAGAGUGACCCCUGAGAGCACAGUCUAGAUUCAGAUUUGACCUUGACUGAAGUAUCACAAAUGUUAUAUCUGUGUUGGGUAAGAGAAAUCAGGAUGCCCAUCCAUUCAUUUAUCCAUCCAUCCAUCCACACCCAUCCAUCCAUCAUCCACCCUUUCUUUCAACUAAAAUGUAUUUGAAUUAAAGUCAAAUUAUUUGAACUUUAUUCUGUGCCAAGCAUUCGUCUAUGCCCUUGGCUCACAGGAAUGAGGCAACCAGAGAUACCAACUUGUAUUCUUUGAUUAAUUAAAAAAGUUAAGAGGUUGAAAAUAUACUUUAAUGAAAACACAGUCCCUCUGAGUGUCACUAUCUGAAAUACUGAAUUAAAUAUUUCUGUGUGGCAUAGCACAGGAGCAAUAUUUACUCUUAAGGUCUAUUCCCAUCUUUGAGGCGCUCAGAACACUGGGUGUAGGAAUUAGACAUGUGGUGGGUAGAAGGUCAUCCAGGGAAAGUCACCAAUAACCUCACUAAAUUGUUUAACUCUCAGAGUUUCCCACCUCUCCUUAUUCAUUUUCUGAUUUAAUCCUGAAAACAAUACUGUGAAGUCUGAGGAAAUUCAGACUCAGAAUUUAAAUGACUUGCCCCAAGUUACAAAGGAAAUGAGCCACAGAACCAUGACGAAAUUGGAAUCUUCAGAUUCUACCAAACCCUGAGCCCACCACGCUGACUGCUAUUCAGAACAGUGGACAGUCAGGUGCUGGGUAACCCAGGUCCUGCUUUGGGCAAGGGGAGAUCUUUUUAGGAUAUCUAGGCUGCCCACCCCACCCGAGUGUAGGGGCAAGCGUGGAGCCAUGUCUACCACCUAACCCAGAAAGCUGCUUAGGAAACCCACGAUCCACUUCCAAAGACCAUCCAUUUUCAAACACGUGCCACUCCUCAGAAACACUGGUGUCACCACCAGGCAUGGCUACUCUCAGAUCAGAAUAAGAAACCCUCAGCCUCCUAACACUGGUGAUUCCCAAGAAUUUAACACCUCACCGGUGCUGACAGGUUAUUGAGAAAAAAACAAACAAACAAAAAAACCAACAAAAAACCCCCCAAAAAAACCAACCAAACAAAAAAACACACCAAAACACACAGUGGUAGUAAAAUUGUGGCUCUUUGAACAAUAUUAAAACACUUCCGCUACCUUUCAUAUAGAAUUAAUUAACAUAAAACCCAGCAUCCUCAUUGCUGCAGAGCCCUAAAGUGGUUGCCAGAAUUUAAUUAGACUUAACCUUUUUUCCUACCCCAGUACCACUUUAUAAUAACUGCAAAUCAUUAUUAAUUCCUUUGGUGUUCACUGUAAUAACAUUAAUCAUGAUGAACUUCUUUCUGUAGUAAUGUGUAUGUAAUAUGUAAUUCCAUAGCAAUUUAGUAUUAGUUAAGGCUAAAUUGAAAUUAAUUUCACCAAAAGAUACUAUUUGUUAUUGGAUACUGUAUAUUCAUAAAAUAAUAUUUUAAAGCAAUUUAUAUGGAGGUAGCCAGAUGAAGAGGCAUUUGGCAAACCUGCUGAAAGUUCAGAGACAGAACUAUUUGCUGCUGAUUACUGGAGCAUGCCUGAUGGCUGGCGUCACAUAUCCCAAGGUACUUGAAAUAGCAAAUCAGAAAAUGGGUAAGCUAUGAUGGGAUGGUCCUUUGAGAUACAGUACCUUAUCAAUCUGAAGGCAUAGCAUUGGACAAGAAUACAUUUUGGAGUCAUUUCCAGAACCAUGCCUAUGAUUUAUUUUCCCAGAUCUCAAGAUUCAAGUCAUGUUUUUAGCCUCUCCCAGGGUCAGUGUUGUCUUCUGUAAAACGGUUACAUUAUCCCCUCGUGGUGGUUGCUCUUCCGGGCUUCCCAGGAUAUGAUCAAUUUGAGUGAUUUGGAAAAUCACAGUAACUGAGAAUGUAUGCAAUGUUAGAAAGAGAAGCAAUGGUCUAUGUGUGUUUUAUCUUGUUUAAUUUCGUUAGUCUUUGUGGCGGGAUGUUUGAAAGUGGAGAUGCUGAGAAGUUUCGGAAAGGAAGGCCUUUUUUAGAUAACAGCUGUCCUCAUCACUAAUUUCUAGGCGUCCCCUUGUCUCAACCUUUGCCCUCUGCUGGCCUCUCUAGAUACUCUUAUGUUGACAGACCUCUGGGGACUUUCCUCGGUUCGUUUGUCCAUUCAUCUCACCAGACACAAAAGUGAAUAAGACUUAACUCUGCCUUUGGGAAGCUGGUGGUCUUGGGGCUGUGACCAUAAAAGGAUAUUUAAAGUAAAUUCUGAUAAGGGCAGUAGACAUAUGCUGAGGUCAGGGGUGAUAUUAAAAAUAAGUAAUAGCGCAUAAGCACAGAAGGCCUAAGCUCUGACCAAUCAGCAUGGUGGCUGGCAGGUGGAUGGACACUGGCUGGGCUCAGGGCAUGAUGGGACCCCACAAGAGAGUUCUCUAGGUUGAUGGGCUGGAAGGUGGGAAUCAGGGAAACCUCCCUAGAAAAAGAAAGAGUCGUGGAUGAAACUGGGCUUUGGCCAAGAACAGGGAACAGCAGAGGAGCAGCUCAGAGACAGGAGGCCCCUUGCUGUGUAUGAGACAGCAACUAGGAGCAAUUUGUGCUUAUGGGGGACACAGUCUCCUGAGAAGGAGGGUACGGCCCCGCUGGACCAGUGCACGGGACUCUCACAGAGGGCUUUGUAAGAUGUCCUGGGGGAGCUUGGCUUUCAAAGGCUGAGGGCAGGGGUUGGAGGUGAUGCAAUGGGCAGAAGCCUUGCUUCUGCAUUUAUUUUGAGCACUAAAAAAAAAAAAAAAAAAAAAA